UCUCCUUCACCUUCCUCUUCCCCAAUUCAAUCCCAGCACCUAAAUUUACAAAACUAUCCUCAAACCAUUUCUCAUCUUCUUCCAUUCUUUUCACAGCUUCCCCUAAACACCCUCCUCCUCCACCACUUCUAUCAUCAACUCCGAUUUUUAUAGCUUUAAGCCUAUGCUCAAGCACAUCAAAUCUCUGCUCCAUAUUAAACCUAACAUGAUGAACAUCAGCUAGUACAUGAGCUUGCAUUGUCACUUGCAUGAACCUCGCUACUCUUUUCUCUAACCUCUCCAUUUUCCUAGCCAACUGUAGGUUCCUGUACAUGUUCCAACGGCCGGAGUGGAGAACUUUUCCGGCGAGUUCGUAGCCAUCUCGGAGAAGUUUGGAGAAAUCGUCCAGCUGAGUUUGCCGUAUCUGUGGAAGUUCAACACCGGUUUGUUUGAUUUCUUGGAUGAUUGGAAGGAGACCAUUGAUAUUGUCAAUGAGAUUCUCUGCGCUUGAACGGCAUAAAGUGGAUUUUUUAACUAUCAACAGCAGGUAUUUUAUGAGUUCGGUGGUAAUCUCGCCGGCGAAAAAGUCCGUCACCGCCAUGUUUG
rnacentral:misc_RNA from 1 species